UACGGAGGGUGCAAGCGGUAUUCGGAAUUACUGGGCGUAAAGCGCACGGAGGCGGCCUUGUAAGUCAGGGGUGAAAUCCCACGGCUCAACCGUGGAACUGCCUUUGAAACUGCAGGGCUUGAAUCCUGGAGAGGGUGGCGGAAUUCCUGGUGUAGGAGUGAAAUCCGUAGAUAUCAGGAGGAACACCGGUGGCGAAGGCGGCCACCUGGACAGGUAGUGACGAUGAGGUGCGUAAGUGUGGGGAGCAAACAGG
rnacentral:rRNA from 1 species